rnacentral:hammerhead_ribozyme from 1 species
AUCCAGCCGACGAGCCCCAAAUAGGACGAAAUGUGCAUCCUGGAU